rnacentral:misc_RNA from 1 species
UACAGAGGUGGCAAGCGUUGUUCGGACUCAUUGGGCGUAAAGGGUCCGUAGGCGGCUCGGAAAGUCGGAUGUGAAAUCCCACAGCUCAACUGUGGAACUGCAUUCGAAACUCCCGGGCUAGAGUGCGAGAGGGGUGAAGGGAAUUCCCGGUGUAAGGGUGAAAUCUGCAGAGAUCGGGAGGAACACCAGUCGCGAAGGCGCUUCACUGGCUCGCAACUGACGCUGAGGGACGAAAGCUAGGGUAGCAAACAGG